UACGUAGGGGGGCAAGCGUUGUCCGGAUUUACUGGGCGUAAAGCGCGUGUAGGCGGCUAUGCAAGUCGGAUGUGAAAGCCCCUCGGCUCAACCGGGGAAGUGCACCCGAAACUGCAAAGCUAGAGUCUCGGAGAGGAUCGUGGAAUUCUCGGUGUAGAGGUGAAAUUCGUAGAUAUCGAGAGGAACACCGGUGGCGAAGGCGACGAUCUGGACGAUGACUGACGCUGAGACGCGAAAGCGUGGGGGAGCAAACAGG
rnacentral:rRNA from 1 species